ACAGUGGGCAGUGUGUGUGUCCGAAGCAGUCAGUGGUUAGUGUGUGUGUUUGGUCCUUUUAAGGGAGGGGUGGGCAAUCUUAUCCAGAGAGGGCUGUUUGUAUGAGGGGUUUUGUGGUGGCCAUUUCAAAUUGAGGCUGGUUUAAGACCAUGGUCUUCGAGAAAGCAAGUCUUAUGUGUGCGGGAUUUGAGACUAAUUAAACACCAUAGAGUUUGUCUACUGAUGUUGUGGCGAGAGGGGGCACUGGGCACAGUUUUGCCCUGAAGCCGAAGCCACUAAGGGACCAAGCGGUUGGCGUCACAAACAGGAUCGGUGAGAGACAAGGUCAAUAAACUAAUUAAUGCUGGAUGACUGAGGACAACAAAUAAAAUCACAAAUCAACGGAGGUAAGAUCUUCCCCCUGUGUUUGGCUGAAGGUUGAAAUUUUUUGGCAAUAAAUGCUGAAGAACUUCCAGGGAUGAAUAACAUAAACAGACAUGGGCUAAUUCUUUUCAUAGUUAUCGAACAGGCCAGCUCGACAUCUUACAGUAUUUUUUGUGUCCUGCUUUUUUGUUAAUAUGGUAAUUAUUAUUGCACAUGUGCUUCCUCAUACCAGUGUACUCGCAACUACUUUUCUCUAGUUCCUAUUGUCAUGACGCAGUGGGGUAAGGACUACCCAAAUGCAGACUUUGGGCAAGUGCAACCUCUUGCAGUGGAGAUUGUUGUGGAGAACAAGCUAGGCAACACACACAAACGGAAAACAAUGACCAUAUAAGGAGCUCAGGACUAGUCAACACACACAGAGAGAAAACAAUGACCAUAUAAGGAACUCAGGACUAGGGGACACUUUCAGGUGCAGGUGAGGAGACCUCAGGUGUAACUGAUCAGCAGCCACACCCAAAGGAAAUGCUGAGAACAGAGAAGCAGAACAUCCAAGGAAUAUGACUAAUUAAAGCUAGCUGUUAUAUGCUGUAAUAACUUCAGCACUAAUAUUUUUGCAAUAUAACUAGCACCUAAUCCUCCAUGUUUGACACCUUACAAUAACAAAUAUGUCAUAAUUUAAAAAAAUCUUAGAUUGAUUAAAGCACAUUUCUUUGUUUCUGUAAAUAUAUAUUUUUAUUUCUAAGUACAUAGCACGUGCGGGUCGGUAUAAUAUAUGAAUAAUGAUACUUGUACAACAUUUUGUUUGAUUUACACUAAUAAACUAUUAAGAGAAACUCAUUUUGCUUCACUUUACUGUAGCCUUGGGGCUGGUCUAUGGUGAGAUCACCCAAGUGAAAUGCCUAGAACAGAGAAGCGGGCUGGGGCUGGGUGUGACAGCUAUCUUCACAUCGGCAUGCUUGACUUGGGGCUGGUGAGAUCAGAAAUAUUUAAGUAGCUGUAUGGAUGAUGUAAUACCUGGCCAAAAAAAAUUCACACACCUUCAUAUUUCGUAGGACCGCCUUUAGUUUUGAUUGUGAUGCACUUUCCUCAUUGCAUCGUUUCCACAUGCUUAGGCACCGUCUUAACAUUUUUUUUUCCAUUCCGAUUUGCAUUCAUUUCUCAUCAAGAUCUUGGAUUGAUGAUUGUUGUGUCUGGUGACAGGAAAUGCAGUGCCGUCGCAGACUAUGUUGCAUAAACUUCCCCCCCCUCCCACCUCUGGCAUCUGCUCUGUGGUGUGACACCUCCAAGAUGAAACUCAGUCCCAAUUUGGCCCUGAGUAAGUCUGCUAAAGGAAAUCAAGGUUUCUUUUGAAUUCUUUUGAAGAAUUCAAUGUAUUCUAUGAAUGAUUGAUUCUAUGCAUUCUUUUGAAAAGAGAGAACUGUUGUGUUCUGCUUAAUUUUUUUUCACACUUGCAUUGUCACAGAUAUCCACAGAUAUCCACAGAUAUCCACAGAUAUCCACCAUAUCCAUGGCUAUGGGCUGAGGAGGUGUCUCAUUGGUGAGUGGAACAAGUUAGGGAAGCCUGACAAAACUCAGUCUGCUGUAUGCUAACCGUAUGCUAACCGUAUCAUAACCGUGUGCUAACCGUAUCAUAACUGUGUGCUAACCGUAUCAUAACCGUGUGCUAACCGUAUGCUAACCGUAUCAUAACCGUGUGCUAACCGUAUCAUAACUGUGUGCUAACCGUAUGCUAACCGUAUCAUAACCGUGUGCUAACCGUAUGCUAACCGUAUCAUAACCGUGUGCUAACCGUAUGCUAACUGUAUGAAGUUCUUUUUCUUCAGCGGACUGCAGAAUUGAGCUAUGAUGUCUUCCAAAACGCUGCAGUAUAUCUCAGACAGAUCUGUGUUCCCGAUUGUCGCAUAUACCCUUACCAUGUGCACAUUCUGUCUGAUUCUCAUGUAUCUAUAGACAAUUUGUGUGUGUCUUGCUUUCUGGCAUCAGACCUACAUGCAUUCCCCCUUUAUGUGUGUUGGAGUUAGGAUCAGUAUGUGAGUUUAGUCCUUGUAAAAACUACAAAAAAAAAAAACUCUCUUGUCUUGCCAUGUGACAAAUACAUACAAAAUAAAAUAGAUUCAUAAACAUCAAAAAGAAGUAAUGAAGACAAAUAGAAAUAAACUAAACAUUUAAUUAAAAUUUUUUUUUUAAGUAAAUAAAUUAAAAACAUUUAAAAUUGAAUCAAAUUGUUUCAGUAUUUCCCUACUGGCAAACACUGUUAUACUAUUGUAUUUCAUUACAUGCGUAUUAUUACGCUUAUAAAGAAAUGAUAUAGAUGUGUAUCUUCAUGUUCUGCACAAUUCACUGAAUCACGUUUCCUCUUUUUUCUAAACUGGACACCUAAUGACUUAGACCUUUUCUUAUCCAUUUGUGUUCAUUUUGAACUUGAGCAUCGAUAAAUCGCCCAUCUCUCAACCUGUCAACCAAGAAUCAAAACUAUGGUGUAACAUUUAUCUCUAAAGCCACGAGCUCGAUAAACCACACUAUGAGUAAAUAAUAGUAUUUCACACACGCAGGUAUUAGCUGGCCACUGGCAAAAUACAAGUCUUGCUGUGUAUUGUAUAGAUUUGUUUGCAGUUUUAUAAAUGGUCUUCGCACUUUGCUGACCUGCACAAACUUAUGCAAGCCGAAUAUAUUUAUUACAUAUUUAUUGUCCCACUGCCCAUAUUGCACUUUCUCACUGCAUAUUGCAGCGUCUUUGUUUUCCACUGUCUCACUGUCCUCUCAUGCAUCCGUCUCCUCUGCUGCAACUGGGGCACAAGAAUUUCUUUGUUUCGCUGACUUUUAUGAUGCAAGUGAAUCAAGUGAUUAUGAUUUGAAAUUUCUCACUCACCCACUUCUAAUGACACAACAUAAAACAAACCUCCAAAUGGCACCAGGAACAAAACAGUCAUUAUUUACUUUGUCAAUACUUGUUACUUAAUUUAGCAAAUUUCAGAAAAGUGUCACACAAAUGGAACAAUAAACUCCUACAGAUUUGUCAAUAUAUCCUUACCAGUUUGUCAACUUAAACCUUUGUGUCUCUUCUGACGGAUUCUUUUCCACGAGCCUACCCAGCUCAUACGUCAUAGACCUGGUGCAUGAUUCUAGCUAUAAAGUAAUGGGUGACGCCCUGAUUUCAGAUCAGCUCGUGUGACAGGAGAAAUGAAUUUCCAGUGUUGCGCAAAAGAGAAAGCUGAAAUUGCAAAGAAAAAGGACACUAUCGAAAAAGACCAAUAAUUUGUCUGCAAGUUGUAAAAAGUUGUAAAAACGUGUGAUAUGUGAUUUCUUUAUUCCAGGAAGUUAUUAUUUUUUUAAAGUUUACUUUGUCUAAAA